GAUAUUUGCCGCCAGAGUAAAAAUAGAAUUUGGAUUUAGUUUUCUAAAAUCUUUUGAAACCGCCGAAGACCCUAAGAAAAAAAAUAAGAAAAGUCGUCCUUAGGUUUAAUUUAUCAGAAAUUCUAUCAUAACUUUCCUCUUCCAAAACCAAGGCAACAAUUCAUCCUUAGGUUUAAUUUAUCAGAAAAUCGUCGUCUCGUCGUGGUCUUGAUUUCAAGUUUCAUCGAAUUCGUUCUUCGAAUUUCAGGAUUCAUCACAUUCGCACAUCCAAUUACGUGUCUUAAUCGUUGUCUUGCUCGUGGACUCGUGGACUUGAUCGGGAUUUUAUCGAAUUCGCGAUUCCAAUUUCAUGUACUUUUUGAUUUGGGCCGUGUACUAUACUAGAACUAAACAGUUUGGUAGAUCCUGGAACUAAUCCCUGGAGAGCUACUAGUGCAUUUGGUAACAUCAGAUGAUGGAUUGGAUCGGAUAGCAAAUGAAGAUUAAAGUUGACAUUGAGAAUCAUGCGCACGUAAGGGAAACCAGUUGAAGAUGAAAAGAUAGAAGACAUUUAGUUUUGGAUUAUACAUUUUAGUUUUGGAUAUGAUCAUUUGAUUUUAUUUUGAACAUAAUAAUGUAAUUUUCAUAGAUCGUACAUCAAAUACUAUUAUUUUAAUUAAUUUGUUAAUUAGUUUGUUAGGGAGCGGGUUGUGCUCCCUUCCUUUAGUUGUUUCCUUGUUUGGAACUUAUUUUGUGUACAUACUAUCUUUUGGUAAUAAAAUUGCUAUUUUACCAAAAAAAAAUUAUAAAU